rnacentral:rRNA from 1 species
UACGGAGGGGGCUAGCGUUAUUCGGAAUUACUGGGCGUAAAGCGCACGUAGGCGGAUCGGAAAGUCAGAGGUGAAAUCCCAGGGCUCAACCCUGGAACUGCCUUUGAAACUCCCGAUCUUGAGGUCGAGAGAGGUGAGUGGAAUUCCGAGUGUAGAGGUGAAAUUCGUAGAUAUUCGGAGGAACACCAGUGGCGAAGGCGGCUCACUGGCUCGAUACUGACGCUGAGGUGCGAAAGCGUGGGGAGCAAACAGGAUUAGAUACCCGUGUAGU